UACGUAGGGUCCGAGCGUUGUCCGGAAUUACUGGGCGUAAAGAGCUCGUAGGUGGUUUGUCGCGUUGUUCGUGAAAACUCACAGCUUAACUGUGGGCGUGCGGGCGAUACGGGCAGACUGGAGUACUGCAGGGGAGACUGGAAUUCCUGGUGUAGCGGUGGAAUGCGCAGAUAUCAGGAGGAACACCAGCGGCGAAGGCGGCGCUCUGGGCCGGUACUGACGCUGAGGAGCGAAAGCGUGGGGAGCAAACAGG
rnacentral:rRNA from 1 species